GCUCCCGUCGUUCAAUGGAUAGGACAUAAGUUUGCGGAACUUAAAAUAUAGGUUCGAUUCCUAUCGGGAGCA
rnacentral:tRNA from 1 species